rnacentral:rRNA from 1 species
GAUGAACGCUAGCGGGAGGCCUAACACAUGCAAGCCGAGCGGUAUUGUUUCUUCGGAAAUGAGAGAGCGGCGUACGGGUGCGUAACACGUGUGCAACCUGCCUUUAUCUGGGGGAUAGCCUUUCGAAAGGAAGAUUAAUACUCCAUAAUAUAUUGAACGGCAUCGUUUAAUAUUGAAAGCUCCGGCGGAUAGAGAUGGGCACGCGCAAGAUUAGCUAGUUGGUGAGGUAACGGCUCACCAGGGCGAUGAUCUUUAGGGGGCCUGAGAGGGUGAUCCCCCACACUGGUACUGAGACACGGACCAGACUCCUACGGGAGGCAGCAGUGAGGAAUAUUGGUCAAUGGGUGCAAGCCUGAACCAGCCAUCCCGCGUGAAGGACGACUGCCCUAUGGGUUGUAAACUUCUUUUGUAUAGGGAUAAACCUACCCUCGAGAGGGUAGCUGAAGGUACUAUACGAAUAAGCACCGGCUAACUCCGUG